rnacentral:misc_RNA from 1 species
GAUGAAGAACGUAGCGAAAUGCGAUAAGUAAUGUGAAUUGCAGAAUUCCGUGAAUCAUCGAAUCUUUGAACGCAUAUUGCGCCCUCUGGUAUUCCGGAGGGCAUGCCUGUCCGAGCGUCAUUGCUGCCCUCAAGCACGGCUUGUGUGUUGGGCCCCGCCCCCCGAUCCCGGGGGGCGGGCCCGAAAGGCAGCGGCGGCACCGCGUCCGGUCCUCGAGCGUAUGGGGCUUUGUCACCCGCUCUGUAGGCCCGGCCGGCGCUUGCCGAUCAACCAAACUUUUUUCCAGGUUGACCUCGGAUCAGGUAGGGAUACCCGCUGAACUUAAGCAUAUCAAUAAGCGGAGGA